AUUACGUUAUGUUUAAAGUGCCUCUAUUUAAAUGCAAGUGGAUUAAUAUUAACAGUGGUGUGCGAAUCGAUGAAUUAGGAUUUACAUUGGUCGAUCUUUGCAAGUUAGCUUAUACCGACGAACCUUUCAUCAUGGCAUCCCAAGCAAAACAAGUGUUUUAUGUUAAAGAUCCUUCGCCUAACAGUAGGUGGUCGGUGGUUUUACAAGGAAAAAAUGUGCAAGGUAGUGAUGAAAAUCAAGAUGUGAUUCUUGAUAUUUCCGAAACUCUUCCAUUCUCAACAAAUGUGCCUACCUUCGUUGAAGAAAAUGAAGAGGAUGACGUGCAAGCUAUUCGUUCGGAUCAUCAAGAAGGGAUAUGGCAGGACUAAUACAUGGCUGAUUCAACCGUCACGGCUUCUUCAAGCCAAAAAAAGAGAGGAAGAGGUGCUACUAUGAUGAGAAAACUUACCAAAGUUCAUCAAUCGGGUCAACUCCUAUCUGUCACAUUUGAUCCAAAAACAUGGAAUCCUACCGGUGCUCAUGCAAAAACGUUCAAGAGUUAUUUGUCAUAUCUUGCUCGAAGUAGUUGUAGUAUUUUGAAAGAUGAGUGGAAGGACGUAGACAUAAAUGAAAAAGACAAAAUGUUGAGUGAUCUUCAGAGUUAUUUUGUUGUACCAGUAAUUCAUAAAGAUCCGGAUAAAGAUCCUUUGAG